ACAAACUAUAGUUUUGAUUUGUGUAGUUACUAACCAAACUUAAUUAAAGUGUUACCAAGGUUAUAUUGGAAAUACCAGUGUUAGAAAAAUGAAGGAAGAUGUGGUCCAUUUUGGAUAGAGAUGGCAAUUGCCACGUAUUCAACUUCUGGCUGUUAUUUCUAUGCCAAUAAUAAUAGUCAUCCUUAUGCAUCAUCAUACCUUAUGCUCCACUUCUGAACAAUUAGUAUAUCGGUAUCUCCACUGUAAAGUUGUCAUCAUAUUCAUAGCUAGCUUUAAUGGUUAACAACUCAUCAUGAAGUAGGUAAAAUAUAGUAAUUUGAUUUUUUUAAAUUGGAUUUUAUUAUGGUGAUAUAAUGGAUCGGUUUAAAUUCAGGGGUUAGAUAAUUAGAUUUUCCUAUAACAUUACUAGUUCAUUAAGUUUUACCAUAAACAAAACUCAUCUAUAGUCGCUCCAAACUUGUACGACAUUACUUUAGGAUGAAUUGAAAGAUAGAAAAAAAUUGUAAGGUUAUGUAUUGUAUGUUGUUCUUUUAACACCAACCUUAAACAAAAUAUUUUUUCUGCUCUUACAAUCUAUAUCACACUAUCGUGUUUUUGUUGUUGUUGUUGUUGUUGUUGUUUCCACCUCUUGCAAGACCAUUGUUAUAUUUUGGAAUAAUAUUCAUAUGUUGUCAAUUAAAGAAAAUAUUUCAUAAUUUAUUGUUUUCCUUGGUUGAAAAUAUUGAAAAAUUUAUUCAUAAACAUACUGUAAAUUGCAAACAAUAUUGUUGUUUCACAAUACAA
rnacentral:lncRNA from 1 species